AGAGUUUGAUCAUGGCUCAGAUUGAACGCUGGCGGUAGGCUUAACACAUGCAAGUCGUGCGAGAAAGUAUCUUCGGAUAUGAGUAGAGCGGCGGACGGGUGAGUAACGCGUAGGAAUCUACCUAGUAGAAGGGGAUAGCCCGGGGAAACCCGGAUUAAUACCGUAUACCUCCUUCGGGAGAAAGAAGGCCUCUCUUUGAAGCUUUCGCUACUAGAUGGGCCUGCGUAAGAUUAGCUUGUUGGUGAGGUAAAGGCUCACCAAGGCGACGAUCUUUAGCUGGUCUGAGAGGACGAUCAGCCACGUUGGGACUGAGACACGGCCCAGACUCCUACGGGAGGCAGCAGUGGGGAAUAUUGGACAAUGGGCGCAAGCCUGAUCCAGCCAUACCGCGUGUGUGAAGAAGGCCUUCGGGUUGUAAAGCACUUUAAGCAGGGAGAAAAAGUUAUAAGUUAAUACCUUAUAACCCUGAUGUUACCUGCAGAAUAAGCACCGGCUAAUUCCGUGCCAGCAGCCGCGGUAAUACGGAAGGUGCAAGCGUUAAUCGGAAUUACUGGGCGUAAAGCGCGCGUAGGUGGUUUGUUAAGUUGGAUGUGAAAGCCCUGGGCUCAACCUAGGAACUGCAUCCAAAACUAACUCACUAGAGUACGAUAGAGGGAGGUAGAGUUCAUAGUGUAGCGAUGGAAUGCGUAGAUAUUAUGAAGAAUACCAGUGGCGAAGGCGGCCUCCUGGAUCUGUACUGACACUGAGG
rnacentral:rRNA from 1 species